UUGGGUAUGGUCUAUCCUUCGACCAUAACCUUUGUGGUUUGGUCUAGAUGGAGCCCCAUCUGUAGUUGUUGAAUUCAGCUGU
rfam:Sorghum bicolor cultivar BTx623 chromosome 6, whole genome shotgun sequence.